rnacentral:sRNA from 1 species
GGAAGGAACUUGCAUUUGUUGCUGAGCGGGGACCCUGCUGGUGGAGCUCCGCAGAGCUGGCUCCCUUCAGUUCUGGAGGAGCUGUCUAUGCCCAGUGCUCCUUGUUGGACUGCUUCCAUCACUCACACUACACUCGGGCACUUCCCAUGAGCCACUGCGGUGUUUCCGGGGGAAGAAGCAGCAGUGACAUCUGCCUUCUGGAAUAGGGAAGGGAGUGUGCACAUCACAAGGCAAGUUAGAAAGGGAUGUGGCGAGUAGACCCACUUAAGGGAAUACGCCACAGGUGGGGUCGGGGACGGGAGGGCUGGGUCUCAGGAACACACCUUACAGUCGGUCUUCUGAAGGCUGAUUAACUGCUUAGAGCCUCAGUGACUGUGGAGAGGUUGGAAUGUGGCAAGUCCAGAGUCAAAUUAUCUUGGGCUAAUCUUUACCCUUCCAUAAUAGACAUUUGUUUUGCUCUUCUUUGGAAUGCAACAACAGACCCUAGCUCCCACCAGCCAGAAGUCUAUCAGGCUGGAGGAAAGUCACAGGGAUGUUGCUUGAGAGCAUCUGACACCCAGAAUUGAGUUUCCCCCUUUUUCUUCUAGCCGCCUACCUGAUGUGCCCACCAGUGACUUUUUGAAGUGCGUUGAUUUUCUCUGUUCAGUUACUAUAACAACUCCACCAGACUGUUACCAUGCCGGAACGUGGAAUUCAGAGUGAAUCCGUGUCCCCAGGCCAUGGCCACUUGCACUUGACUCCGGAAUAAGCUUCUCUUUGAGAUGAGAGCUGAGCUUUUACAUCAGUAGAAGAGAAUCAAUCUAGUCCAGGCCUUUGUGGAUCCCAAACCAAAUUCUUAGUUAGGCCUAUGCCACUUCCUGCCCAAAUGAAGAGUCUGGAAAGGUGCUCUGUGACCAUUGGCUCUUCUCCCAACUGUCUCUGAGGACUUCAUCAGCCAGGGAGCAGGUGGUGAGAACCCAGUAUGGUGCUGUUAUUACAGCAGAGAAUGCAGAAGGCAGGAGCCCAAGCACACCAGUACUGAAGGCCACUCAGGCAGUACACGGGAUCUUGAAAAUUAGAAGUAAACUCUAGAUGUCUCCAUCGUGACUCGACAAGAGAAACAACAGCCCCCCUCUCAGCUCCACCUUUGCCAAUGCCAGCUAAGGUGCUCACGAACUCCUGGCUUCACAGAGGACAGAGGUCAAAAGCCAUCCUAGGAGGUACAAGAGAAUGACCCAGUCUCCUAGAGGAGAGAGUCUCAACUGGGCCACCUUCUGUUCAGGUGGCAUCUGGUUGGGAAAUACGUAUUAGAAACAUUUUUUUUUCUAAAAUAGCGAAAAAUGUGUCACACAGAGAGAAAUUGACAAGCACAGUUACACCGUGAGAUUCCUACACUUGGGUGCUCUGUAAUGUGUCCUCAAGUUUGCUUAACCAAUAAAAUGCAAAAUGGUA